AGAAAUACAUUACAAAAUUAGCGUCAUACGAAGAAGUGAUUUAAAGAGUUUCAGGCCACACAAAAUCUGGAUCCACCCUUGCUUUCAGCAAUCCUGGUAACAAAAAUUAUUCAUCACUCAAAACCAAGAUCAAAUGUCACUUCCUUUAUAAACUAUUUUCUGAAUCCCUAAUCAGGCUGGACCAGAAGAGAUGUUGUAGCCUUCUGAGUGCAUCAUUCUGGAAGAACACGGUGUCUAUCUGCCCCUCAUUGGCUCCCACUGACUUUUGGAAAAGGAAAUUUAAAGGCAUCUACAGAGCAUGUGCGGCACGUUGACCGACACAUGGCCCGGAAUGGCGAACUUUCCUAAGAAAAGCAACUUUUAUAUAAAAGGCUCGAUUCCAUACCCUUUAGCUUCAUGUAGACGAGACCCCUUUGAAACAAAAUCAAAGAGGAUACAGGGGCAAAGGAAAAACAACCUAUCCAUCUCCCCAAAGGAGGAAGGUAUUCGUCCUAGAUGCCUAGAAACCUGGAAAUGCCUCCAUCUCUGUUGCAAGCAGCCUGUGCCCGUGCAUCUCUCUGCAGUCUCCUAGAGUUCAAAGAAGGACACAUCGUCUGGACUUCGCGCACCUGCCCUGUUUGUUGGAACUCUCCUGUGCACUUGGCCCUCCCUCCCACUGUCAUGACCUUGGUUCAGCCUGCCAUCACCUCCCGCUUGG